GCCUUCCAAGUGGCGCACCGCACGCCAGCCAACUGGGAAAUGUGUCAGGGAGUUUGUUUGGAUCCAUUUUGGGACAUGGUCAGAUCACUGAACGUGCAUGUGUGGGGGACAUGGGAGGUCAGCUCCGAAGAAAAUAAGGGACAUAGUGAACAGGCAGAAGAGGAUAAGUUGCUUGCCAGAAAGGCUUGUUUGCACCACUAGCAGGCAUCAAAAAAACGAGCCCAUCAGCCACACAGGCUGGGCCAAGCUAGGAGCUCAGUAAACUUGUCUGGGUUUAGUUGUUUUAUUGUUUUCAGAAAGUGAAACGUAGUUCAUAAAUAACUUAGACCAUUUGCCAGAAAUCAGGAGAUCCCAGAAAUCACGCAUUCCUAAGGGAAAGAAGUCAUACCUAAAAUACAUUUAUAAAGGCUGCAUCAGAGCAUAAUUCCAGUUCUAAACUGGUGGAGGACAGCGACAAGAGGACUGCUUGUUUACCUUCCCUGUGUCUUUUGACAGCUGCACAACAGGAAGAAAUGCAUGCGUUGCAGCUUCUCUGACAUUGCAGCAUCUGAGUCCUUGAAGAAGCAGCACCAGAUGAGUUUCUGCCUGUCACACACAAGCCCUGGCCUGGGUGGGUAGGUCGUAAAGUCUCUUCUACAAAUCAUUAAUACUGUGCACAGUAGAAGGCUGAGGAGCAUCGUAGGCAGAAAAUUAAACAAGGGAGCUUGCCACCCACUCACUGCACACCUUAAUGUGGAGCAUCACCUGAUGAAUUUCUGCCUGGCACAUGCCAGUUAAAGGCACAGCAACCCUGCCAGCAAAGAAAGUGGCAACUCUAUCAGCUUGAAAGCAUACUUCCGUCAGCAAAACUGGUGCAAAAAAGGAUAAUCUGAACGACUUUCCUUUUUGGGGAGAAGGGAGAACUUAAUACCAGCCACCCUUGUAACAACUUAACAGCUUGGUGCAACAGCCUGCAGCUUCAGCUCCAGGCAGCUGGGGAAUAGACACUCUCACUCUUUCUCAGCAUCCCAUCGCUUGUACUUAAACAUCUUUAUUAAUGGCUUGAAGGAGGACACAUUUGCCUUGGUCAAGAGCACCUAUUUAGUUCCACACAAGAGGAAUGAAUGCAGGAUAAUCUUCCUCCUUAGAUGACAAUGGAGGAUCCAGCACAGAGACAGGAGGAGCACACAACUAGAUUCGUCAGAACUGUGAGCAUUAACCUUUACUCAGCUGCAUGUAGUCAUGUUAAAAGCACAGUAUCUGCUUCUAAAAACACAAAACAAAACAAAAAACAGGAUGGGCAUCACUAAGGGAAAUGGGUUACUGUUUUUUAAAAAUCCAAUGGAAAAUAGACUAUACUGUCCGGUCAAGUAAAAGGAAUAGUACCAGUCCCUUCUUUUAACUUGCUCAAGCAAACAGAGACUGUAGCAAAACCUCUUCUGACAAAAAGACCCUGUUCUCUUACAGAAACUGAUAAAGGGCAAAAGCCAGCAAACAAGGCGCUAUGCCUUGGACUUCCCUUCCUUGGGCUACCAAAGCCCCACCAGUAUGAAUGGAGGAUGUGUAUUGGGGGCGACCCACUUUGCUGACAGACACCAGGUUCCUGGAAUGAAAUCAGCAGUCGCUGUUUGCCAAGAAAAGGAGGCAGCUUUGCUUACAACUUUAUACCACUGCAAGAUGGAAAUCAUCGGGGGGUGGGGGGGGGUGGCCAGGAGGAGGUUUCCACGAAGAACGUCCAUGUACCAGAAUGAACACUGAUUAAAAGGCAGAGAACACAGGGACUGCAAAACAUAAAAAUAAGAAGUCCCACGCGAAAAGCACAAGCAACCUCAACGAAGUAAAGGGACGAAUCUCUCUCCUCGCUCUAUGAGCAUCAAGCCCUCUGUUGAAAGGUCACGGAUUUAGACCACAAAUCCAAAACUGGGCCGGAAAUUGUGUGUAGAAAAAACUUCCCUAGCAAUUUUAGUGAUUCUCUUAUACAAAAAAAGGGGGGAACGAUUUCUCCAGUAAAACCAAGCUAUUAAAAAAUACAAAACUUGUGUGUCCAUCAGACAAGGUUGCUUUAUGUAGGAAAGUUUUCACGGGGUCAAACAGAGAGAGAGGGAGAGAGGGG